GACGAACGUUGGCGGCGUGCUUAACACAUGCAAGUCGAACGGAAAGGCCCUGCUUUUGUGGGGUGCUCGAGUGGCGAACGGGUGAGUAACACGUGAGUAACCUGCCCUUGACUUUGGGAUAACUUCAGGAAACUGGGGCUAAUACCGGAUAGGAGCUCCUGCUGCAUGGUGGAGGUUGGAAAGUUUCGGCGGUUGGGGAUGGACUCGCGGCUUAUCAGCUUGUUGGUGGGGUAGUGGCUUACCAAGGCUUUGACGGGUAGCCGGCCUGAGAGGGUGACCGGCCACAUUGGGACUGAGAUACGGCCCAGACUCCUACGGGAGGCAGCAGUGGGGAAUAUUGCACAAUGGGCGGAAGCCUGAUGCAGCAACGCCGCGUGCGGGAUGACGGCCUUCGGGUUGUAAACCGCUUUCGCCUGUGACGAAGCGUGAGUGACGGUAAUGGGUAAAGAAGCACCGGCUAACUACGUGCCAGCAGCCGCGGUGAUACGUAGGGUGCGAGCGUUGUCCGGAUUUAUUGGGCGUAAAGGGCUCGUAGGUGGUUGAUCGCGUCGGAAGUGUAAUCUUGGGGCUUAACCCUGAGCGUGCUUUCGAUACGGGUUGACUUGAGGAAGGUAGGGGAGAAUGGAAUUCCUGGUGGAGCGGUGGAAUGCGCAGAUAUCAGGAGGAACACCAGUGGCGAAGGCGGUUCUCUGGGCCUUUCCUGACGCUGAGGAGCGAAAGCGUGGGGAGCGAACAGGCUUAGAUACCCUGGUAGUCCACGCUGUAAACGGUGGGUACUAGGUGUGGGGUCCAUUCCACGGGUUCCGUGCCGUAGCUAACGCUUUAAGUACCCCGCCUGGGGAGUACGGCCGCAAGGCUAAAACUCAAAGGAAUUGACGGGGCCCCGCACAAGCGGCGGAGCAUGCGGAUUAAUUCGAUGCAACGCGUAGAACCUUACCUGGGUUUGACAUGGAUCGGGAGUGCUCAGAGAUGGGUGUGCCUCUUUUGGGGUCGGUUCACAGGUGGUGCAUGGCUGUCGUCAGCUCGUGUCGUGAGAUGUUGGGUUAAGUCCCGCAACGAGCGCAACCCUUGUUCACUGUUGCCAGCACGUUAUGGUGGGGACUCAGUGGAGACCGCCGGGGUCAACUCGGAGGAAGGUGGGGAUGACGUCAAGUCAUCAUGCCCCUUAUGUCCAGGGCUUCACGCAUGCUACAAUGGCUGGUACAGAGAGUGGCGAGCCUGUGAGGGUGAGCGAAUCUCGGAAAGCCGGUCUCAGUUCGGAUUGGGGUCUGCAACUCGACCUCAUGAAGUCGGAGUCGCUAGUAAUCGCAGAUCAGCAACGCUGCGGUGAAUACGUUCCCGGG
rnacentral:rRNA from 1 species